rnacentral:rRNA from 1 species
AAGCUCGUAGUUGAAUUUCGGGUCUGGCCGGGCGGUCCGCCCUCCGGGUGAGUACUGUUCCGACGCCGGGCCUAUCCUUCUGGAGAGUCGGCAUGUCCUUUGUUGGGUGUGCCGGGGAACCAGGACCAUUACCUUGAAAAAAUUAGAGUGUUCAAAGCAGGCGUAUGCUCGGAUACAUUAGCAUGGAAUAAUGAAAUAGGACGCGUGGUGCUAUUUUGUUGGUUUCUAGAACCGCCGUAAUGAUUAAUAAGGAUAGUUGGG